GGGAAGGGAGUCCUAGACAGAGACUGGAGAAUCUCGACAGAAAGGACAUGAUGAUUAUAAUCUGCUGUAGGCAAUCAGUUCAGCAUGAAUUCCUCCACAACAGCUGAAGAACUUUGCCUACCAACUCUUGCCUCAAGAGAACCUUGCCUACCCAAGUUUACGAUGAACAGAUAAUAUGCUUUGUAGGGUAAGAAACCAUGCAGGGCAGCCAGCUGCUGGAAA